rnacentral:tRNA from 1 species
GCGCGGGUGGCGAAAUUGGCAGACGCGCCAGACUUAGGAUCUGGUGGGGCAACCCAUGGGGGUUCAAAUCCCCCCUCGCGCA